UACGUAGGGUGCGAGCGUUGUCCGGAAUUAUUGGGCGUAAAGAGCUCGUAGGCGGCUUGUCGCGUCGGAUGUGAAAGCCCGGGGCUUAACUCCGGGUCUGCAUUCGAUACGGGCAGGCUAGAGUUCGGUAGGGGAGAUCGGAAUUCCUGGUGUAGCGGUGAAAUGCGCAGAUAUCAGGAGGAACACCGAUGGCGAAGGCAGGUCUCUGGGCCGAUACUGACGCUGAGGAGCGAAAGCGUGGGGAGCGAACAGG
rnacentral:rRNA from 1 species